GUAUGGAAUAAAUUUCAUCUUCCUCCCAACUAUGCCACCAUAAUCAACACAACUCAAGGGAUUUAAUCAUCACAUAAUAGAACUAAACACUCUUUUAUGCUCUCCAUUUAUUUUCAACACACAAAGUCGAUUUUCUAACAAAUUUAUCAAUGUACACUCGACUUCACACUUUUUCUCUUCUUUUUUUUUUCUUUUUUUUUUCUUUUCUCAACAAUUUUUUUUUCUCUUUUCACAACUUUCUAGAGCUUAUAAGAGUAAAUAGUAGCACAAUGUCAUCCCUUCUUUUUUCAUGACCCACUAUGAUAUUCACCACACAAAGAUCCCCAUAUACUUCAUCACCC
rnacentral:lncRNA from 1 species